UCGUCGCAAGCGACAGGUUCGGCGAGGAC
rnacentral:sRNA from 1 species